GUUUAUACAGACAAACAGGAAGCUGGGGUGAAAGGGCCGAGAGGAUGCUUCAGGCUCUGCUCUGACUGCCACAGAGCCGGGCCCUGGAGGCGAAGGCGAAUGCGCUGGUUUCACCAGGAAUCAGACCAGAAUCACAAACGGCUGCUCGAGGCACAGCAGGUAUAUCACAAAUCCCACAUCCUACAAGGGACUGGAACAGAUAAAGAGCUCUCAGCUCAACAGGAAAGCAGCCAAGGAUCCAGUCAGAAAACGGGCAAAAGAUGCGAGUCAUCUCACCGCAAACAGCAAACGAACACACGACAAGGUGUUGAACCCACGUCAUGAACCCUUAGGGGAAGGCAAAGUAAAGCCGCGGGAGAGAGCGCCGCACACCUGUCAGAACGGCCGCAGGAAGGAGCAGCGUGAGGACGCGAGAGUCCUGCCCACACCGCUGGCAGGAAGGGAGGAUGCUGCAGCCUUUCUGGAAGGCAGUUUCGUGGUUUCUUAUUAAAAACUAGACAUGCACCCUCCCUACCUCAGGACCCAGCGGUGGCACUCCUGGGCGUUUCAACCAGAGAGAUGAAAGUUUAUGUUCACAUAAAACCGUUCACGAGUGCUCACACCAGCUCUAUGUGCAGUUCACACUGGAAAGGCCCCGGCAACCUUUCCUGAGCGGCUGGUGGACAAAGGCUGGGCCCUGGAUACUGACUUACUACACUGCAGCGACAAGUAAUGACAACUGGGCGAGUGUCCGGGGAAGGGGGCUGAGUGAAAACGCCAAUUCCAAAAGGCUGUGCCCCAUGGGAUUCCAUUUACAUAACAUUAUUAUUAUUAUUUAUUUUUUUGGUCUCUUCUAGGGCUGCACCCACGGCAUAUGGAGGUUCCCAGGCUAGGGUCUAAUCGGAGCUAUGCCAGAGCCACAGCAACGCCAGAUCUGAGCCAUGUCUGCAACCUACACCACAGCUCGUGGCAACGCUGGAUCCUUAACCUUAACCCACUGAGCGAGACCAGGGAUCGAACCCGCAACCUCACGGUUCCUAGUUGGAUUCGUUAACCACUGAGCCACGACAGGAACUCCCUUUAUAUAACAUUUUUGGAAUGAGGAAAGUUUAGAAACGGAGAUCGGUGGUUGCUGGGGGCUGGGGGGUGGGGGGUGGGAAGGAGGCGGACAUGGCUCUAGGAGGGCAGCAGUGAGGGACUUGACUGAGGUGGGGAACCCGGCCUGUACAGCUGAUAAAACUGGAUGGGACUAAACACACACCCGCACCAUGAGCACAGGCAAACCAGGAAAGCAUCGUAAGCCUAGCGGAUACGUUGUGUGGCCUUUGGGGGAAGCUGGGUAAAGGGUGGGGGAUUCUCUGUAUUAUUUCUUGCAACUACGAGUUACUGGAUCUGCCCAAGAACUUCCAUGUGAGAAAAUAGCUGCAAGGCUUCUCCUCCAUUGCUGUGAAACCUGACUCAGUUGGGUCCUUGUGGAUGUGCCGCUUAUAAAAACAAACAGACCAAUAAAUAAACAUUAUUAGCAAACAAACCAAUUUGUGUUCUCACG
rnacentral:lncRNA from 9 species